AUUGAACGCUGGCGGUAUGCUUAACACAUGCAAGUCGAACGGCAGCAUGAAUGUUCUUCGGAACAUUUGAUGGCGAGUGGCGGACGGGUGAGUAAUGCAUAGGAAUCUGCCUUGAAGUGGGGGACAACCUGGGGAAACUCAGGCUAAUACCGCGUAAUCUCUAAGGAGGAAAGCUGGGGACCGAAAGGCCUGGCGCUUUAAGAUGAGCCUAUGUCAGAUUAGCUAGUUGGUGGGGUAAAAGCUCACCAAGGCGACGAUCUGUAGCUGUUCUGAGAGGAUGAUCAGCCACACUGGGACUGAGACACGGCCCAG
rnacentral:rRNA from 1 species